rnacentral:rRNA from 1 species
AUUGAACGCUGGCGGCAGGCCUAACACAUGCAAGUCGAACGGUAACAGGAAGAAGCUUGCUUCUUUGCUGACGAGUGGCGGACGGGUGAGUAAUGUCUGGGAAACUGCCUGAUGGAGGGGGAUAACUACUGGAAACGGUAGCUAAUACCGCAUAACGUCGCAAGACCAAAAAGGGGGACCUUCGGGCCUCUUGCCAUCGGAUGUGCCCAGAUGGGAUUAGCUAGUAGGUGGGGUAACGGCUCACCUAGGCGACGAUCCCUAGCUGGUCUGAGAGGAUGACCAGCCACACUGGAACUGAGACACGGUCCAGACUCCUACGGGAGGCAGCAGUGGGGAAUAUUGCACAAUGGGCGCAAGCCUGAUGCAGCCAUGCCGCGUGCAUGAAGAAGGCCUUCGGGUUGUAAAGUACUUUCAGCGGGGAGGAAGGGAGUAAAGUUAAUACCUUUGCUCAUUGACGUUACCCGCAGAAGAAGCACCGGCUAACUCCGUG